rnacentral:misc_RNA from 1 species
GAUGAAGAACGCAGUGAAAUGCGAUACGUAAUGUGAAUUGCAGAAUUCAGUGAAUCAUCGAAUCUUUGAACGCAUAUUGCGCUCUUUGGUAUUCCGAAGAGCAUGCUUGUUUGAGUAUCAGUAAACACCUCAAAACUUUUGAUUUUUUUUUAAAAAAAAAAGGUUUUGGACUUGAGCAAUCCCAACACCAAUCUUUUUUAGAUCGGUGGCGGGUUGCUUGAAAUGCAGGUGCAGCUGGACAUUCUCCUGAGCUAAAAGCAUAUUUAUUUAGUCCCGUCAAACGGAUUAUUACUUUUGCUGCAGCUAAUAUAAAGGGAGUUUGACCGUAUUGGCUGACUGAUGCAGGAUUUCACAAGGGUCGGCAACGAUUCUUGUAAAACUCGAUCUCAAAUCAAGUAAGACUACCCGCUGAACUUAAGCAUAUCAAUAAGCGGAGGA